AUGACGGCUCAUGCUUUGUUAAUGAUCUUUUUUAUGGUUAUGCCGGCGAUGAUAGGUGGAUUUGGUAAUUGGUUUGUUCCGAUUCUGAUAGGUGCACCUGACAUGGCAUUUCCACGAUUAAAUAAUAUAUCAUUCUGGUUGUUGCCACCAAGUCUCUUGCUCCUAUUAAGCUCAGCCUUAGUAGAAGUGGGCAGCAGCACUGGGUGGACAGUCUAUCCGCCCUUAAGUGGUAUUACCAACCAUUCUCGAGGAGCAGUUGAUUCAACAAUUUUUAGUCUUCAUCUAUUAGGUAUUUCAUCAAUUUUAGGUUCUAUCAAUUUCAUAACAACUAUCUUCAACAUGCGUGGAUCUGGAAUGACUAUGCAUAGAUUACCACUUUUUGUGUGGUCCAUUCUAGUGACAGCAUUCCUACUUUUAUUAUCACUUCCGGUACUGGCGGGGGCAAUUACAAUGUUAUUAACCGAUCGAAACUUUAAUACAACAUUUUUUGAUCCUGCAGGAGGGGGAGAUCCAAUAUUAUACCAGCAUCUCUUUUGGUUCUUCGGUCAUCCAGAGGUGUAUAUUCUCAUUCUGCCUGGAUUUGGUAUUAUUAGUCAUAUCGUAUCGACCUUUUCAAGAAAACCGGUCUUCGGGUAUCUAGGCAUGGUUUAUGCCAUGAUAAGUAUAGGUGUUCUUGGAUUUCUAGUUGGGGCUCAUCAUAUGGUUACUGUGGGCUUAGACGUUGAUACGCGUGCCUACUUCACCGCAGCUACCAUGAUCAUAGCUGUGCCCACAGGAAUCAAAAUCUUUAGUUGGAUCGCUACAAUGUGGGGAGGUUCGAUACAAUACAAAACACCCAUGUUAUUUGCUAUAGGGUUCAUCUUUUUGUUCACCAUAGGAGGGCUCACUGGAAUAGUUCUAGCACACUCUGGGCAAGACAUUGCUCUACAUGAUACUUAUUAUGUGGUUGCACAUUUCCAUUAUGCACUUUCUAUGGGAGCCGUUUUUUCUUUAUUUGCUGGAUUUUACUAUUGGGUGGGUAAAAUAUUUGGUCGGACAUAUCCUGAAACUUUAGGCCAAAUCCAUUUUUGGAUCACCUUUUUCGGGGUUAAUCUGACCUUCUUUCCCAUGCAUUUCUUAGGGCUUUCGGUUAUGCCACGUCGCAUUCCAGAUUAUCCAGAUGCUUACGCCGGAUGGAAUGCUCUGAGCAGUUUUGGUUCUUAUAUAUCUGUAGUUGGGAUUCGUCGUUUCUUCGUAGUUGUCGCAAUCACUUCAAGCAGUGGAAAGAACAAAAAAUGUGCGGAAAGUCCUUGGGCUGUUGAACAGAAUCCAAACACAAUAGAAUGGUUGGUACAAAGCACUCCGGCCUUUCAUACUUUUGGAGAACUUCCUGCGGUAAAAGAGACAAAAAGCUAA
rnacentral:rRNA from 1 species